GCCUUUGUCUGAUGACCACAGACUAUGGAUGGUGUUUCCCUCGUAUGAAUGAAUUGCAUGCAGAUAACUACGUCUCUAAAUUUUUUCUUGGCACAUAUCAUGUUCCAAGGGCCUCAUGAAACAAGUUGGAAAGUGGUGCUUCAUCCCCUGUUCUCUGUAGAGUGUGUAUAAGAGAGGGAAUAGGAAGACCUGAGAAGGAGGAGCAAGCUGGGGGAACAGCAGAUAAGGAAAUGCCGAAGCAAGAAGAUGAACCACAGUACAUGUAUUCACUAACCCAUGUGCCUGCUUCCAUCUAUAGAACCUGGGAUCCGAGGGAGACCCAUCCCAGCAGGGUUCAUGUGAAGGUUAGAUAAGAAAAUGUGUUUGAAGUGUCAAGAUGAUAUUAAUUAGAUCCCUUCUCAUGUUUUAAAAUAAAUGGUUGUGAAUAUCUCCAGUUCAUCAUCAGAACCUGAGGCAGAGCCAAGCACCGCCCCCCACCAGCCACAGUGGAGUAGUGGCUGAGAAAGGCCCUAGGAAGCAGAAAAGAGCCUUUGAAGUUCUGCUUUUGCAAAACAAACCUAUAAAAGCAUCCAGGGACUAGAGAACAUUCCAGAGGGGACCUGGAAGAAGGCAGAACUACAAGAUGAACAGGACCAAGACUGAUUCCAAAUCUUUGCUCUAGUUCGCAUUAGCUGUGUAAUCUUCAACCAAUGCCCAUACGCUCUUGCAACCCUGUGGCAGAGAUUGUGUUUCUCAAACCAUUUCCUUUUCUCUGGGCAAACAGAAGUCAGCAGUGGUCCCGGGACUGAUUCUGGCCAAUGGGAUGUACGUGAACUGCCAAACUAUUUCUGGAAAGGAAAGCACAUUUCUCAUGCCGUCCACAAUGUAUAAGAGUUCCAGUGUCUCUGAAGAAAAAUGAACCUGGACCACUUUCUUACACCAUACACAAAAAUAAACUCAAAAUGGAUGAAAGACCAAAACGUAAGACAGGAAGCCAUCAAAAUCCUUGAGGAGAAAGCAGGCAAAAGCCUCUUUGACCUUGGCCACAGCAACUGCUUACUCAACACAUCUCCAGAUGCAAGGAAAACAGAAGCAAAAAUGAACUAUUGGGACCUCAUCAAGAUAAAAAGCUUCUGCACAGAGAAGGAAACAAUCAGUAAAAUUAAAAGGCAACUAAUGGAAUGGGAGAAGAUAUUUGCAAGCGACAUAUCAGAUAAAUGGUUAGUAUCCAAAAUCUAUAAAGAACUUAUCAAACUCAACAUCCAAAAACCAAAUAAUCCAGUGAAGAAAUGGGCAAAAAACAUGAAUAGACACUUCUCCAAAGAAGACAUCCAGAUGGCUAGCUGACACAUGAAAAAAUGCUCAACAUCAUUCAUCAUCCGGUAAAUAAAAAUCAAAACCACAAUGAGAUACCACCUCACACCUGUCAGAAUGGCUAACAUUAACAACUCAGGCAACAACAGAUGCCCACAAGGAUGUGGAGAAAGAGGAUCUUUUUUGCACUGCUGGUAGAAAUGUAAGCUGGUAUAGCCACUCUGGAAAACAGUAUGGAGGUUCCGCAAAAAAUUAAAAAUAGAACUACCCUAUGACCUAGCAUUUGCACUACUAGGUAUUUAUCCAAGGGAUACAGCUAUGCUGUUUAUACAGGCACAUGCACCCCAAUGUUUAUAGCAACACUGUCAACAAUAGCCAAAGUACAGGAAGAGCCCAAAUGUCCAUCGAUGGAUGAAUGGAUAUAGAAGAAAUAAAGAAGAUACACAGUGGAGUAUUACUCGGCAAUCAAAAAGAAUGAAAUCUUGCCAUUUGCAACUAUGUGGAUGGAACUAGAGGGCAAUAUGCUAAGCGAAGUUAGAGGAAGACAAAUAUCAUAUGACUUCACUCAUAUGAAGACUUUAAGAUAAAAAACAGAUGAACAUAAGGGAAGGGAAGGAAAAAUAAUAUAAAAACAGGGAGGGGGACAAAACCUAACAGGGUCUUAACUAUGGAGAACAAACAGAGGGUUACUGGAGGGAUUGUGGGA